rnacentral:rRNA from 1 species
AUCAUGCAGUCGAGCGGACAGAUGGGAGCUUGCUCCCUGAUGUUAGCGGCGGACGGGUGAGUAACACGUGGGUAACCUGCCUGUAAGACUGGGAUAACUCCGGGAAACCGGGGCUAAUACCGGAUGGUUGUUUGAACCGCAUGGUUCAGACAUAAAAGGUGGCUUCGGCUACCACUUACAGAUGGACCCGCGGCGCAUUAGCUAGUUGGUGAGGUAACGGCUCACCAAGGCGACGAUGCGUAGCCGACCUGAGAGGGUGAUCGGCCACACUGGGACUGAGACACGGCCCAGACUCCUACGGGAGGCAGCAGUAGGGAAUCUUCCGCAAUGGACGAAAGUCUGACGGAGCAACGCCGCGUGAGUGAUGAAGGUUUUCGGAUCGUAAAGCUCUGUUGUUAGGGAAGAACAAGUGCCGUUCAAAUAGGGCGGCACCUUGACGGUACCUAACCAGAAAGCCACGGCUAACUACGUGCCAGCAGCCGCGGUAAUACGUAGGUGGCAAGCGUUGUCCGGAAUUAUUGGGCGUAAAGGGCUCGCAGGCGGUUUCUUAAGUCUGAUGUGAAAGCCCCCGGCUCAACCGGGGAGGGUCAUUGGAAACUGGGGAACUUGAGUGCAGAAGAG